rnacentral:misc_RNA from 1 species
UGGUAUUUCAGGCCGGGCACGCCGCGUGCGGCGGCGGCCUUUUCGACCGCGGCCUUGACCUGCGGAUUGGCCAUCACCACCGGGUCUUUGACCAGGUUGUCCACGUAGUCAUCGACCAUCGCCGCGAUGGCGUAGGUUCCGCCCAGGCGGUCGAACAGCGAUUUCUGAGACGCAGCGCGCGGCGCGGGGACCGGCUUGGCGGGCAUGAUUUCGGGCUUUGGCGGCUGCUGCGAUGCGUCGGUUGGCCCAGAACCAGCCAGCAUCGCGUAGGCCAACAGACAGCCAAUUACCAUCACGCCGAAUCCGCUUUUCACAAUGCGAUGUCCGAUGCACAUUUCUGAACUCCUUGGAAAUGAGGUUGAUCUUCCGGGUUGUCGCCCAUCAUUGCGGCAGUGGGAGA